GAUGAACGCUGGCGGCGUGCCUAAUACAUGCAAGUCGAGCGAACAGAUGAGGAGCUUGCUCCUCUGACGUUAGCGGCGGACGGGUGAGUAACACGUGGAUAACCUACCUAUAAGACUGGGAUAACUUCGGGAAACCGGAGCUAAUACCGGAUAAUAUAUUGAACCGCAUGGUUCAAUAGUGAAAGACGGUUUUGCUGUCACUUAUAGAUGGAUCCGCGCCGCAUUAGCUAGUUGGUAAGGUAACGGCUUACCAAGGCAACGAUGCGUAGCCGACCUGAGAGGGUGAUCGGCCACACUGGAACUGAGACACGGUCCAGACUCCUACGGGAGGCAGCAGUAGGGAAUCUUCCGCAAUGGGCGAAAGCUUGAUGGAGCAACGCCGCGUGAGUGAUGAAGGUCUUCGGAUCGUAAAACUCUGUUAUUAGGGAAGAACAAAUGUGUAAGUAACUAUGCACGUCUUGACGGUACCUAAUCAGAAAGCCACGGCUAACUACGUG
rnacentral:rRNA from 1 species